UCAAAUUUCAUCCACGUCUAUUUAAAAGAAACCCAAACAUCACAAUUACAACUUGGGGGAGUAUCCGUUACUGUCUGGUUAAAGAGGAGAGACAGAUGAAUGGUGUCACAAGUGGUACUACUUUGUUAGACAAAGACAACAUCAUAAUUAAGGAAAGCAUGAUGAACCUCAUUUGACUUUGAAUUUCGAUGACUGGUCUUUGGCAACGGAACUUGUUAACUUGCUCUCACUUUUUUUUUUUCUGCAACUUCUCUACUUUAUUUCCUUUUCUGCAACCUGAGGAGUUAUUAUAUAUAAAUAAACUAAUGAAAAAAAAAGCUGUCAUUUGAUUCUGAACAUGCUGACAAGAUACUAAGAAAUGAGAGCUUAACAAAAAGUGACCCUACUUUUCUUCAACGAACCAAUGGUAACCAUUCAAAUCAUUCUUCUUUUUUUGUUCAUUUAUAUCUAUAUGGUGCACAUGGGGGUUGUGUUGUAAGCUGCUGAAUCACUGAAAUUGGCAUCCAAUAAACUUGCAGGGAAGGGGAGAGAGAGACGGUGGAAUUUGAACCCAUGACGUACCAAUGGAAUUCAUAUAUAGGUGAAGAAACUUGCUUGCAUGUGGAUGCCUGCUCUGCACUGCAUUCAUAUCAGAUAUUGAGAUGCAUAAUAUGCGAUGGGAUGGGGCCAUGUACUGGAUUGCAUUUCUUUUUUUUCUCCUCCAUAUAAAUAUUAUUAGUAGUAGAGUUAUAUUAUUAUGACACAGAUAAAUAGAGGUAAUUGUUAGAAUGAAACAAAAUGGGUGGAGCCCGAGGACGUCUUUGGAAACCACAAGGGAGGAAGGGAGGGGGAGUAUGGG
rnacentral:lncRNA from 1 species